UACAGAGGUCUCAAGCGUUGUUCGGAUUCAUUGGGCGUAAAGGGUGCGUAGGCGGCGCGGUAAGUCGGGUGUGAAAUCUCGGAGCUUAACUCCGAAACUGCAUUCGAUACUGCCGUGCUUGAGGACUGGAGAGGAGACUGGAAUUUACGGUGUAGCAGUGAAAUGCGUAGAGAUCAUGAGGAAGACCAGUGGCGAAGGCGGGUCUCUGGACAGUUCCUGACGCUGAGGCACGAAGGUCAGGGGAGCAAACGGG
rnacentral:rRNA from 1 species